rnacentral:lncRNA from 1 species
GGAGUCCAUUCCAAUGUCUAGUCACCCCUUCUCUGAAGAAUUCUUCCUAAUGUCCAGCCUUUCCUAAUGUAAACCUUUACCGGCACACAUAAGCCUGUGUCCUCUUGUCCUGCCAAGGAAAGAGGACGACCCCCACCUGGCUAUGCCCUCCUGUCAGGUGAUUAUUUAGAGUGAUAAGGUCUCCUCUCAUUCUCCUUUUCUCCAGGCUAAACACCCCCACCUCCCUCAGCCAUUACUUGUGCUCCAGACUCUUCACCAGCUGUGUUGCUCUUCUCUGGACAUGCUCCAUCACCUCAACAUGCUUGAAUUGUUGGGCCCAGAACUGGACACAGGAUUCGGUAAGGAUGCGGCCUUACCAGUGCUGAGUACAGGAGACAGUCAUUGUCCUGGUCCUGCUGGACACACUACUACUGAUCCACAAGGUGAAUGUCCUCCAGACUAGCAUUCUAUGUGUCUCAGGCAAAUCUUUCUGAAGCCCUUGGUACUUUGUCAUCCGGCAGAUGUUACGGCAGGCUCAGUUUUCUCUCACUGAGGUACUGCAAGACCAUCUGGUUGUUGUUAUUAGUACCCUAGGUUCAUCACUAGGAGCAGAACUGGUUAUCUCCAGUGCACUGGGUGUGCACUGUUAAACAGGGUGCUUUGAGGCAGCAUGGUGCUGACGGUGAAGGUUGUAGCUAAUGACAGACCCUGGAACAUCAAUACAGCCAACCAGUCACCCAUCUGGACUAAGCUCUGAACCCAGGAGCUCAAAACAUCCCCGCAUGGCCAGCACCAUGAAACUUCUGUAUCAUGCAGAAGGAUAUGAAGUACCACAUUAUUCCAUCUGGAUAUGCUACAGGAGUCAAACUGCUGCUUUUCCUCAGCUGGUUCCUCAACUGUUCUCUGCUAAGUACAAGGCUUCCAAAGGAUGAGAAUGUUUUUUAUUCAGAUUCCUCAGUCAGAAAGGUACGAAUUUAAGCUUGAUGUAUCAGCCAGAAACCUGUCUGCCACUUGAAGUUCACGUAAAAUGUAUUACUUUAAUUCAUCAUUGUAUUUUGAAAAUUUCACCAUUAAAAUAUUUACGUAUAUUUUAUGUAAAUAUUUUAAAUAAUAUAUAAUAAAAUACAAGUAAUAAAACUGAAGUGUUUAAUC